rnacentral:rRNA from 1 species
UACGUAGGGUGCAAGCGUUAAUCGGAAUUACUGGGCGUAAAGCGUGCGCAGGCGGUUUUGUAAGCCAGAUGUGAAAUCCCCGGGCUCAACCUGGGAAUGGCAUUUGGGACUGCAAGGCUGGAGUGCGGCAGAGGGGGAUGGAAUUCCGCGUGUAGCAGUGAAAUGCGUAGAUAUGCGGAGGAACACCGAUGGCGAAGGCAAUCCCCUGGGCCUGCACUGACGCUCAUGCACGAAAGCGUGGGGAGCAAACAGG